AACCACGCCCACAGACCACGCCCCCUUGGGAAAAUCCGUCUGCCCCUGCGGCCUAGAAUGUCGCCUCGCCCCCAUCGGUUGGCAACGCCCACACGCUCCUCGCCCCUCUUAGUCCCGCCCCUUAGCGCUCGGCUCCUCGGUUCCUCGCAGGCUGGUCCUAAGUACCCCGACCCCUUGGGACAUGGGGAGGAGUGUUUCUCUCCUCACCCCUAGGGUUCCUUGAGGGGACAGAACGGCCCCUUACGGGCUCUCCUGCAGCGCAGGGUUGGCGGCUGCUGUGACGUAGAGAUGGAGAAACGGAGGCAGGGGGCAGCGAAGCCAUUUGCCCAAGUUGACCGGCUUGGGAGUGGCGCAGACGGGAUUCGUACCUGCAGCCCUGGAGCGUCAUCCUGCGGUUCUCUCCUGCCUCUGUGCAGGCCCACGAUCUCUGAGCCCUACCGUGCUUCCAAAUGGUGAAGGUUACCGGCACCCAUUUUACAGAUGAGGAAAUGAGCGCCCGGGAUGGUUGGAGAUGAAAAGUUUCGGUGCCUGUGGGAUCGCAGAGCUGGUGAUUUCCAGGCUCGGCUUUCCCCCGCGCGAAUGUGGAAGAGUCUCGAGGCUCAGGAAAUGCUGGGGGGAGUGUCUUUUCCUUGACCUCCUCUCACCUAGUAUUGGUUCGGUUGGAGGGUUGGGCGGUGGGGGGGGGUAUCUCCACUGAAAGAGACUAGCGCCCCCUAGUGAUGAAAGAAUUAAGAAAAUCCAAGAGGGGUGCCUGGUGAGGCAGAUGGGGGAGGGGAGUCUAUGCAGCCUAGUGGGGUGGAGGUGGGGCGAGGGACCUUGUAGACAAAAUGAUUUCAGGUAGUGAUGAGGUCUACGAAGGCUGUAAAUGUUUGCCAAACGACUGGAUUAAUGAGCGACCCCCUCGAAGUCUAUAAGGAAAGACACGGUGGUGGGCAGGGCCCGAGCCAUACCUAAAUGAAUUUGGGGAUGUCAGAGGUAGAGCCAAAAAAAAAAAAAAAAAAAAAAAAGCUUCCAACCAUUUAUUUAUUCAUUCAACAAAUACUUGCGGACCAUGUAUUUAUGCCAGGUGCUGGGAACAUAUGAGACAGGUGAGAUUUCUAAAUAAACAAUAAAGAAAGAA